AACUUUUAACAACGGAUCUCUUGGUUCUCGCAUCGAUGAAGAACGUAGCAAAGUGCGAUAACUAGUGUGAAUUGCAUAUUCAGUGAAUCAUCGAGUCUUUGAACGCAUCUUGCACUCAUUGGUAUUCCAAUGAGUACGCCUGUUUCAGUAUC
rnacentral:rRNA from 1 species